GUUCUCGGUGGCUUCGACCAGGUAGAGCCUCCGGUGCAGCAGGUUCCGACCUCCUCCGUGAGCAGCAGCAGGCGUUCCGUGAGCAGCAGCCGCCGUGACCAGCAAAGGAGUUGCAGCAGCCGGCGUUCCGUGAGCAGAUCUCCGUUGAGCAGCAGCAGCAGUCGGCGUCGUCUCCACCUACGGCCCGUUGCAGCAGAGCAGAAGAGAGGAGAGAUCUGCACCGGUCGUUGACCGCGCCGGAGGAGCAGCGACAGCCGCUGAGACGCGCUGCCGCCUGCCCCAGAUCUCGGAGCUCGCUGCGCGACUGUCUCUCGCCGAUCUCAGCUGCGCGACUGCACCGCGGCUCCCAGCUCUCAAUCUCACGGCCACCGCACCCAGCAACGGGGAAGCCGUCACCUGCCCACCGCAAAGGAGGACUUCCGGCUUACCCUUCCGGCGGAUGGCCACCAGUUCGCCGAUCAUCGGUCGAGACAAGGGGGGUCUUAACCUUCCACCGGUUUCUUCCAACUUUGCUGUUCGAACUAAACAUGAUCUCUCCCAUGGUAUGCGUCUGCCUCCCAGGGAGUCGGGUACUGAUUCCGACGCGGUUGCCGUCGGAAUGCGAUCUACUGGUAAUUCUUCAAAUCUGACAGAUAACCAACCCACCCAGAUUCUCACUUAUUCCGACAUCGUUAGCAUCUCCC
rnacentral:lncRNA from 1 species